CGGGGAGUCGGCAAACAGACUUUGAUCCGGAGAUGUCUGAAUGGGGGAACCCAGCCAUCAUAAGAUGGUUAUCUUGUACUGAAUACAUAGGUGCAAGAGGCGAACCAGGGGAACUGAAACAUCUAAGUACCCUGAGGAAAAGAAAUCAACCGAGAUUCCCUUAGUAGUGGCGAGCGAACGGGGACUAGCCCUUAAGUGGCUUUGAGAUUAGCGGAACGCUCUGGAAAGUGCGGCCAUAGUGGGUGAUAGCCCUGUACGCGAAAAUCUCUUAGUCAUGAAAUCGAGUAGGACGGAGCACGAGAAACUUUGUCUGAAUAUGGGGGGACCAUCCUCCAAGGCUAAAUACUACUGACUGACCGAUAGUGAACUAGUACCGUGAGGGAAAGGCGAAAAGAACCCCGGAGAGGGGAGUGAAAUAGAUCCUGAAACCGUAUGCGUACAAGCAGUGGGAGCAGACUUUGUUCUGUGACUGCGUACCUUUUGUAUAAUGGGUCAGCGACUUAUUUUCAGUGGCGAGCUUAACCGAAUAGGGGAGGCGUAGCGAAAGCGAGUCUUAAUAGGGCGUCUAGUCGCUGGGAAUAGACCCGAAACCGGGCGAUCUAUCCAUGGGCAGGUUGAAGGUUAGGUAACACUGACUGGAGGACCGAACCGACUACCGUUGAAAAGUUAGCGGAUGACCUGUGGAUCGGAGUGAAAGGCUAAUCAAGCUCGGAGAUAGCUGGUUCUCCUCGAAAGCUAUUUAGGUAGCGCCUCAUGUAUCACUGUAGGGGGUAGAGCACUGUUUCGGCUAGGGGGUCAUCCCGACUUACCAAACCGAUGCAAACUCCGAAUACCUACAAGUGCCGAGCAUGGGAGACACACGGCGGGUGCUAACGUCCGUCGUGAAAAGGGAAACAACCCAGACCGUCAGCUAAGGUCCCAAAGUUAUGGUUAAGUGGGAAACGAUGUGGGAAGGCUUAGACAGCUAGGAGGUUGGCUUAGAAGCAGCCACCCUUUAAAGAAAGCGUAAUAGCUCACUAGUCGAGUCGGCCUGCGCGGAAGAUGUAACGGGGCUCAAACCAUACACCGAAGCUACGGGUAUCACCUUCGGGUGAUGCGGUAGAGGAGCGUUCUGUAAGCCUGUGAAGGUGAGUUGAGAAGCUUGCUGGAGGUAUCAGAAGUGCGAAUGCUGACAUGAGUAACGACAAUGGGUGUGAAAAACACCCACGCCGAAAGACCAAGGUUUCCUGCGCAACGUUAAUCGACGCAGGGUUAGUCGGUCCCUAAGGCGAGGCUGAAAAGCGUAGUCGAUGGAAAACAGGUUAAUAUUCCUGUACUUCUGGUUAUUGCGAUGGAGGGACGGAGAAGGCUAGGCCAGCUUGGCGUUGGUUGUCCAAGUUUAAGGUGGUAGGCUGAGAUCUUAGGUAAAUCCGGGAUCUUAAGGCCGAGAGCUGAUGACGAGU
rnacentral:rRNA from 1 species